CAACCUUGGUGACUUCAAUGUCUGACUAAGAUCUAAGCAAUCUUUCAACUGCUUUCAUGGCUGUUGGAACAAAGUGUUCUCAUCUGCCCAUCCUAUUUGGGAAAGUCUUCACAUGUUUGGACUGGAGACUCCUAUAACUCUUGGAACCAAAGGUAAUGUCACUGUCCUGCCUAUCUCACAAGCUCAUUGGUGGGAGAUGUGAUAGAAUGAGACCAUGGAUGUGAAGACAACUAUAAACUGUCAAAAGUUUUCUGCAUGCACAGGAAUGAUGUGUGCUCAGGUCCCCUUUGCAAUACUCCUCUGCAGUGUGACUGCAUCAAGAGGGAUGGAAGAUUGUAGCACCAGGGCCCUGCCACCUGCCACCUCAAGACCCCACAUCCCAGGGAAGGAAGAAGCUGGAUUUGUCUCUGGGACUUGGGAUAAUCAAGCUGGAAGUGGCCUGGUGACUUUGAAGACAGAAGAAGAAGAAGGAAAAUAGUCCAUAUCUCUCUUACUUGCUCUGUUGGUGAUAGUGACUGAAAUACUAGGCAUAUCAACCAUUCCUCUCAAUAUCCUCCAACCUAAGGUUCAUUGUAGAUAAUAGGGAAACCCCCAACCCUCCUACCUCCACUCUCUACCUUUCCUGUUUCCCCAAAUAAACACCUUACUUCAGAUA
rnacentral:lncRNA from 1 species